rnacentral:lncRNA from 1 species
AUGACGAGCACUCCAACGUUGGAGGCAUUCCAGAGAAAAUCGGACCACCGUCUGCAGCUCUGCCUUGUUUUGGGUUCUUGGAUAAUUGAAUCAGUGGAUACUGAUCCUGCGGAUAUGGGGGCCCUACUGGACAACUAUAAUUUUAAAGUUAAUUUUAUAGUUAUUAAAGCUGUAUCACUUACAUCCACCCUCUUUUUCUUAAUUUUUAUUAUUAUCAUUAUUAUUAUCAUUAUCAUUAUUAUUAUUAUUACUAUUAUUAUUACUAUUAUUAUUACUAUUAUUAUUGUCUUCCCAGGGCUGCGGGUGAUAAAUCAUCUUAGCAGCCACAUGCAGAGUCUGGCAAGCUUGAUGAGUGUCAAGCCUUCCGACAUUGGCAACCUGGACGACUUCGCAGAGAGCGAUGAGGACCUGGCCGAGGACGCCCCAAAACAGAGCCGGCGAGAAGAUGGUGUGGGGCAGGAGGAGAGGCCUCCCAAAAGGCCCCUCAAAAAUGUACUGACAGACUAUUUUCCAGGUGAGCUACGUUCCCAGGUAAAGUGGGGUGUGUGUGUGUGUGCGGGCUUGAAGUUUGUGAUUUUUGCUAACAGGCGCUAACCAGCAUUUUCAACGCCAGAGGGGCAGCAUCCUCAGCCCCCUGCCUCCCCCCCGUGUCUUUCCAGGCCUGCGGUAGGCGUUUUGUAAUGCUUCUCUUUCCCACAAUCCCCUCUUGCUUGGGUUGCUGCUCCUUCCAGGGCGGAGAUGGACUACAGGUCCCAUAAUCCCCCUCUGUACACGGCCACUCCAAGCUAGCAGGGAGAUUUGGGGGGGUGGGUGAGGGGGUGUUGUAGUGUCCAGAAGAAGAAACACUUCAUUUUAAUUUAUUUAUUCUAACACUUAACGGUGGAACUCCCUGCCACCAGACACAGCUGAGGAUUGCAGGGGGCAGGCCAUUUUAAGGGAGAAGGUACCAGCAGCAGUGUGUCCAUAUGCGUGAACUCAUGGUCAGUGUUUUUUUUGUUGGGGACUUUCAAAUUGCUAGUUAAAUUCCUCUGGCUCUGUAGCAGAAGUGCUGGAAUUCACGGAGCAGAAUUAGCAUCAAGUUCCCGAUAGUCCACCCCCUUUUUUCUCCCUCAUCAACUGGCACUUACAGUUUCAAUAACUCCGAGACAUGAGUAGUAAGUAAAAUAAAAGGUUUCAUUUACUUACA